CAGUGGCCAAAUGCGGUAUUGCAGGCGAAAUGUCGCCAUGGAGCCUCUCAGAAAUGGGAAGGCCAAGCUGUCGAUUUGCAGAUCUCAUCAUUGCUUCGGAAAUCAUCAUCUUUAGAAGACGGAGAAGACGCGUCUCUCUCCUCGCCCGAACAAACUCAAAGUCAACUCCCCAACACCGCCUCUCAGCUCAUCAGCUCACACCCUGUCCAGUCAUGAUAAAACAACAGUCAAAAGCACAUGGAUAUUACAGCCAGCUGUUUUGGAUCUCUACUCUCCAGGGUUGUAUAUCUCCAGGACUGGGUCCUGCAAUAAACCAAACAGUGCCUGUAUGUACUAUGUGUGUAAACUUUAGUAGUUUUAAUAAAAUCAUAGCUUCAUUAAUA